rnacentral:rRNA from 1 species
AGAGUUUGAUCCUGGCUCAGAAUGAACGCUGGCGGCGUGCUUAACACAUGCAAGUCGAGCGAGGCCUGGGGGGCAACUCCCAGAGUCGAGCGGCGGACGGGUGAGUAACACGUGGGUAACCUGCCCGGAAGUGGGGAAUACCUCGGGGAAACUCGAGCUAAUUCCGCAUAACAUCUUCGGGACGAGAGUCCUGUUGAUCAAAGCGGGGUCGCAAGAUCUCGCGCUACCGGAUGGGCCCGCGCCCGAUUAGCUAGUUGGUGAGGUAACGGCUCACCAAGGCUUCGAUCGGUAGCCGGCCUGAGAGGGUGAUCGGCCACACCGGAACUGAGACACGGUCCGGACUCCUACGGGAGGCAGCAGUGGGGAAUCUUGCGCAAUGGGCGAAAGCCUGACGCAGCAACGCCGCGUGGAGGAUGAAGGCCCUUGGGUUGUAAACUCCUGUCGGCUGGGAAGAAAUCGUGCGGUGCUCAUACCACCGCGCGUUGACUGUACCAGCAAAGGAAGCCCCGGCUAACUCUGUGCCAGCAGCCGCGGUAAUACAGAGGGGGCCAGCGUUAUUCGGAAUUAUU